ensembl:snRNA U4 U4 spliceosomal RNA
AGCUUUGCGCAGUGGCAGUAUCGUAGCCUAUGAGGUUUAUCCGAGGCGCGAUUAUUGCUAGUUGAAAACUUUACCCAAUACCCCGCUUGUACUGGCUUGAAAUAUAGCUAGUGCCGGCAAUUUUUGACAGUCUCUUCGGAGA